rnacentral:lncRNA from 1 species
AGAGUCCAGGCGUGGCUUGUCUGGGUCCUCUACUCACAGACCCACGAGGCUACAUCCAGGCAUCAGUUGGGCCGUAUCCUCACCAGAGGCUUAAAUGGAGAGAGAUCUGCUUCCAAGCUCCAUCAACCAAAUUAAUUUCAACAUAGAGGUGGGACUCCAGGGAGGCAGGACCUGAGGUGCUCAAGGGCUCAGUCUGGUCAACACGCGCUCCCCAAGUGCCCGCUCUGCCGCACUCGUGACUGGCCAUGAGGAGGCUCGAGGUUGUAGGAGACACUUCCCCUGCCUCUAGGGGCUCACGGUCUGGGAGGGGAGACCAACUCCACCACUGACUGCAAUAGACAGUGGAGAGAAUUUCUGAGAAGUACUGUAGCAAGGGCCCAGGAAGAAGUGGUUAAUUCCAUGUGGGGCUCUGAGAAAGCACUUGAAGGAGAGGCAUUUAAAUGGGUCUCUGUCAGAUGGUAUCAGAGACUUCUAAUAGUUCCCCCAAUAGCCUCUUUCCUUUUCUUCUACAGUAUAUUACAAGAUCAGAGGUUUCGCCAGGUACAUGAUUCAAAAUAAAUUUCCCAGCCUCCCUUGCAGCUGGCUAAGAGGAUAUAAAUGGAAAAGCAGCGAGCCCCGUGUAGCAGGCGUGGCGGUGGCAGGAACAGCAUCUCUCCUCCAUCCAUUGGGCAAACAUUUUUGGAGCCAGACGCCGUGGGGACCUUGGCGCUCGCCAGCUCCGGAAGCUCCGUACUGCCCUGGGGUGCAGCUGAGCCCGGGGCUAACUGGAAGCAGCCUGGAGGACCUUGACCGCUCACAGGGUCCUGGAAAACUACAUCUGCCAAUGUCCCAUCUCAACUCCAGAAGGGUGACUCAGGGUCCUGCAGACAGAGAAAGUCCCUUCUUAUUAAUGAGGAGGGAGGGGCGCCUGGGUGGCUUGGUCGGUUAAGCGUCCGACUUCAGCUCAGGUCAUGAUCUCACGGUCCGUGAGUUCGAGCCCCGCGUCAGGCUCUGUGCUGACAGCUCAGAGCCUGGAGCCUGUUUCCGAUUCUGUGUCUCCCUCUCUCUCUGCCCCUCCCCUGUUCAUGCUCUGUCUCUCUCUGUCUGAAAAAUAAAUAAACGUUAAAAAAAAUGUUUUUUUAAAUG